UACGUAGGGUCCGAGCGUUGUCCGGAAUUACUGGGCGUAAAGAGCUCGUAGGUGGUUUGUCGCGUUGUUCGUGAAAACUCACAGCUUAACUGUGGGCGUGCGGGCGAUACGGGCAGACUUGAGUACUGCAGGGGAGACUGGAAUUCCUGAUGUAGCGGUGGAAUGCGCAGAUAUCAGGAGGAACACCGGUGGCGAAGGCGGGUCUCUGGGCAGUAACUGACGCUGAGGAGCGAAAGCGUGGGGAGCGAACAGG
rnacentral:rRNA from 1 species